rnacentral:rRNA from 1 species
CCUACGGGCGGCAGCAGUGGGGAAUAUUGGGCAAUGGUCGCAAGCCUGACCCCGCAACGCCGCGUGAAGGCAGAAGGCUUUCUGGUUGUAAACUUCUUUUCUGAUGUACGAAGAAAGUGACUGUACCUCAGGAAUAAGCCACGUCUCACUACGUGCCAGCAGCCGCGGUAAUACGUAGGUGGCAAGCGUUAUCCGGAUUUAUUGGGUGUAAAGGGCGUGUAGGCGGGAAAGCAAGUCAGAUGUGAAAACUCAGGGCUCAACCCUGAGCCUGCAUUUGAAACUGGUUUUCUUGAGUGCUGGAGAGGCAAUCGGAAUUCCGUGUGUAGCGGUGAAAUGCGUAGAUAUACGGAGGAACACCAGUGGCGAAGGCGGAUUGCUGGACAGUAACUGACGCUGAGGCGCGAAAGCGUGGGGAGCAAACAGGAUUAGAUACCCGGGUAGUC